UACGUAGGGGGUAAGCGUUAUCCGGAAUUAUUGGGCGUAAAGAGUGCGUAGGUGGUUACCUAAGCGCAAGGUUUAAUCUUGAAGGCUCAACCUCAUUUUGCCUUGCGAACUGGGCUACUUGAGUGCAGAAGGGGAAAGCGGAAUUCCUAGUGUAGCGGUGAAAUGCGUAGAUAUUAGGAAGAACACCGGUGGCGAAGGCGGCUUUCUGGACUGUAACUGACACUGAGGCACGAAAGCGUGGGGAGCAAACAGGAUUAGAUACCCUGGUAGUCCCUGAGCGGG
rnacentral:rRNA from 1 species